AUACCACUCUGAGAGACAGACUGUUUCCUGUUGCCUACAAGGUACAGGACUCUCAGCUACUUCUCCAACACCAGGUCUGCCUGAACACCACCAUGUCCCACUAUAAUGGACUGAACCUCUGAACUGGGUACCUGCGAGCUAGAUCUGGAGAUGCAGAUGGAAGGGAACACCCUGGACCUGCCAGAGAGGAAAUUUUCGACCAGAGGUCUCCCUGGGGAACUGUGUGGAGUGAGGGCAGCGAUUUGAAUAUCUGCAGGUUGCUGAUGGUUACUGUACUGGGGAGAGGGGGUCUGAAGGACCACAUAUCUGGUCUCUGGAAUAGCUGUCUCAUCACAGAACAGGAACAGGACCAGCAGGCUUGGAGAGGGUGCUGAAUGGAAACUGAGACAGCUCUGGAAGGCCAUUCUGUACCUGGCAUUAAUGUGAGGGAAGGAAUGAAACCCGAAGACUGGCCUGCCAGACACCAG
rnacentral:lncRNA from 1 species